UACGUAGGGUGCAAGCGUUAAUCGGAAUUACUGGGCGUAAAGCGUGCGCAGGCGGUUCGUUGUGUCGGCGGUGAAAGCCCCGGGCUCAACCUGGGAAUGGCCGUUGAAACUGGCGGGCUUGAGUGUGGCAGGAGGGGGUGGAAUUCCGCGUGUAGCAGUGAAAUGCGUAGAGAUGCGGAGGAACACCGAUGGCGAAGGCAGCCCCCUGGGCCAACACUGACGCUCAGGCACGAAAGCGUGGGGAGCAAACAGG
rnacentral:rRNA from 1 species